GGCUUACCAUGCAGGUCGAGGGGCAGCAUGNAACUUAGCUUGCUAAGUUUGAUGGCGACCGGCGCACGGGUGAGUAACACGNUAUCCAACCUGCCGAUGACUCGGGGAUAGCCUUUCGAAAGAAAGAUUAAUACCCGAUGGCAUANUUCUUCCGCAUGGCAGAACUAUUAAAGAAUUUCGGUCAUCGAUGGGGAUGCGUUCCAUUAGGUUGUUGGCGGGGUAACGGCCCACCAAGCCUUCGAUGGAUAGGGGUUCUGAGAGGAAGGUCCCCCACAUUGGAACUGAGACACGGUCCAAACUCAUACGGGAGGCAGCAGUGAGGAAUAUUGGUCAAUGGACGAGAGUCUGAACCAGCCAAGUAGCGUGAAGGAUGACUGCCCUAUGGGUUGUAAACUUCUUUUAUACGGGAAUAAAGUGAGGCACGUGUGCCUUUUUGUAUGUACCGUAUGAAUAAGGAUCGGCUAACUCCGUGCCAGCAGCCGCGGUAAUACGGAGGAUCCGAGCGUUAUCCGGAUUUAUUGGGUUUAAAGGGAGCGUAGGCGGACGCUUAAGUCAGUUGUGAAAGUUUGCGGCUCAACCGUAAAAUUGCAGUUGAUACUGGGUGUCUUGAGUACAGUAGAGGCAGGCGGAAUUCGUGGUGUAGCGGUGAAAUGCUUAGAUAUCACGAAGAACUCCGAUUGCGAAGGCAGCUUGCUGGACUGUAACUGACGCUGAUGCUCGAAAGUGUGGGUAUCAAACAGGAUUAGAUACCCUGGUAGUCCACACAGUAAACGAUGAAUACUCGCUGUUUGCGAUAUACAGUAAGCGGCCAAGCGAAAGCGUUAAGUAUUCCACCUGGGGAGUACGCCGGCAACGGUGAAACUCAAAGGAAUUGACGGGGGCCCGCACAAGCGGAGGAACAUGUGGUUUAAUUCGAUGAUACGCGAGGAACCUUACCCGGGCUUGAAUUGCAACUGAAUGAUGUGGAGACAUGUCAGCCGCAAGGCAGUUGUGAAGGUGCUGCAUGGUUGUCGUCAGCUCGUGCCGUGAGGUGUCGGCUUAAGUGCCAUAACGAGCGCAACCCUUAUCGAUAGUUACCAUCAGGUUAUGCUGGGGACUCUGUCGAGACUGCCGUCGUAAGAUGUGAGGAAGGUGGGGAUGACGUCAAAUCAGCACGGCCCUUACGUCCGGGGCUACACACGUGUUACAAUGGGGGGUACAGAAGGCAGCUACACGGCGACGUGAUGCUAAUCCCUAAAGCCUCUCUCAGUUCGGAUUGGAGUCUGCAACCCGACUCCAUGAAGCUGGAUUCGCUAGUAAUCGCGCAUCAGCCACGGCGCGGUGAAUACGUUCCCGGGCCUUGUACACACCGCCCGUCAAGCCAUGAAAGCCGGGGGUACCUGAAGUGCGUAACCGCAAGAGCGCCCUAGGUAAACUGUC
rnacentral:rRNA from 1 species